rnacentral:rRNA from 1 species
CCUACGGGAGGCAGCAGUGGGGAAUUUUGCACAAUGGGGGAAACCCUGAUGCAGCGACGCCGCGUGAUUUAGAAGGCCUUCGGGUUGUAAAAAUCUUUUUUAUGGGAUGAAAAUGACAGUACCAUAAGAAUAAGGUCCGGCUAAAUACGUGCCAGCAGCCGCGGUAAUACGUAUGGACCGAGCGUUGUCCGGAAUCAUUGGGCGUAAAGGGUACGUAGGCGGCCUAGUAAGUUAGAAGUGAAAUAAUAUAGCUCAACUAUAUAAAGCUUUUAAAACUGUUAGGCUUGAGAGAUGAAAGGGAAAGUGGAAUUCCUAGUGUAGCGGUGAAAUGCGCAGAUAUUAGGAAGAAUACCGGUGGCGAAGGCGACUUUCUGGUCAUCAUCUGACGCUGAGGUACGAAAGCGUGGGUAGCAAACAGGAUUAGAUACCCUGGUAGUCCACGCUGUAAACGAUGAGUGUUAAAGUGUGAAACUCAAAGGAAUUGACGGGGACCCGCACAAGCAGCGGAGCAUGUGGUUUAAUUCGACGCAACGCGAAGAACCUUACCAAGUCUUGACAUAAUACGGAGGCAGUUAGAGAUAAUUGCUUAUCACUUCGGUGAGCUGUAUUACAGGUGGUGCAUGGUUGUCGUCAGCUCGUGUCGUGAGAUGUUGGGUUAAGUCCCAUAACGAGCGCAACCCCUAUCGUUAGUUACUGCAUGGUUGUCGUCAGCUCGUGUCGUGAGAUGUUGGGUUAAGUCCCAUAACGAGCGCAACCCCUAUUGUUAGUUACCAUCAUUAAGUUGGGGACUCUAACGAUACUGCCGGUGACAAACCGGAGGAAGGUGGGGACGACGUCAAAUCAUCAUGCCCUUUAUGACUUGGGCUACACACGUGCUACAAUGGCAGGUACACAGAGCAGCUAAACAGUGAUGUCUUGCGAAUCUCAAAAAGCCUGUCCCAGUUCGGAUUGUACUCUGCAACUCGAGUACAUGAAGUUGGAGUUGCUAGUAAUCGUGAAUCAGAAUGUCGCGGUGAAUGCGUUCCCGGGUCUUGUACACACCGCCCGUCACACCAUGGAAGUUGGCAAUACCCGAAGCCUGUGAGCGAACCCUUGUGGGCGCAGCAGUCGAAGGUAGGGUCAGUAACUGGGGUGAAGUCGUAACAAGGUAGCCGUAUCGGAAGGUGCGGCUG